AGAGAAAGAAAGAAAACACUUUUGUUCAUACACAUAUAUACACAUUUAUAUUAUUGGGAAAACUUUUGAUCACAAAACGUUUUGAAGCAAUGUGCUUUUGUUAAAAUAGGGAAAACUAAAUCAUACACUAUAAA
rnacentral:ribozyme from 1 species